rnacentral:rRNA from 1 species
CGGACGGGUGAGUAACGCGUGAGAAUCUGCCCUCAGGAGGGGGACAACGGUUGGAAACGGCCGCUAAUACCCCAUAUGCCUACUGGUGAAAUGAAUUUCGCCUGAGGAUGAGCUCGCGUCUGAUUAGCUUGUUGGUGAGGUAAUGGCUCACCAAGGCUUCGAUCAGUAGCUGGUCUGAGAGGAUGAUCAGCCACACUGGGACUGAGACACGGCCCAGACUCCUACGGGAGGCAGCAGUGGGGAAUUUUCCGCAAUGGGCGAAAGCCUGACGGAGCAACGCCGCGUGAGGGACGAAGGCCUCUGGGCUGUAAACCUCUUUUCUCAAGGAAGAAGAUAUGACGGUACUUGAGGAAUAAGCCACGGCUAAUUCCGUGCCAGCAGCCGCGGUAAUACGGGAGUGGCAAGCGUUAUCCGGAAUUAUUGGGCGUAAAGCGUCCGCAGGCGGCUUUUCAAGUCUGCUGUUAAAGCGUGGAGCUUAACUCCAUCAUGGCAGUGGAAACUGAAAGGCUUGAAUAUGGUAAGGGCAGAAGGAAUUCCCGGUGUAACGGUGAAAUGCGUAGAUAUCGGGAAGAACACCAGUGGCGAAAGCGCUCUGCUGGGCCAUUACUGACGCUCAUGGACGAAAGCCAGGGGAGCGAAAGGGAUUAGAUACCCCAGUAGUC